AAGUUAGUUCAAUGGUUAGAACGAAGGCCUUAUAAGCCUUUAAUGCGAGUUCGAUUCUCGCACUU
rnacentral:tRNA from 1 species